UACAGAGGUCCCAAGCGUUUGUUCGGAUUCAUUGGGCGUAAAGGGUGCGUAGGCGGCGCGGGAAGUCGGGUGUGAAAUCUCGGAGCUUAACUCCGAAACUGCAUUCGAUACUGCCGUGCUUGAGGACUGGAGAGGAGACUGGAAUUUACGGUGUAGCGGUGAAAUGCGUAGAUAUCGUAAGGAAGACCAGUGGCGAAGGCGGGUCUCUGGGCCGAUACUGACGCUGAGGAGCGAAAGCGUGGGGAGCGAACAGG
rnacentral:rRNA from 1 species